rnacentral:sRNA from 1 species
UUUGAGAAGAAGCACCUCUAAAGAGGACACGUUUAAUACAGUUCGAGGAGUCGCAGUACCACAUGGAGAGGAAGCCAUGGCCACAGGGGUGUGAGGCAACUGGUCACGGAACAGACUACCUAGGUAUGAUCAUUUGAAUGGCACAUCAUCCGCUCAAGUCUUGGGCUCUCAACUGUUGCUCCAGGUCACAGGCUCUCCCUGAGGGUAGUCACGGCAGGAACUGAAGCAGAUACCGUGGAAGCACUGUUGCUUACUUACUCAGCCGACUGCUGAUACAGUUCAGGACCAUCUUGCCCAGGGUAUGAUGCCCACAGAGAGAGUGUCUUCUACGUGUCCACCCUGGCUCUUAAACUUCUUAUGACAUUCAGUUCAUCACCAUCAUCUCCUAUCUAAAGACUCCCCUGAUCCUCCAGUCCCAGCUGGUCCUGCCCCUCCUCUGGUCUCCAUCGCUCUUGUCACAAGGUGUUAUGGUCAGCCGCAUGUGCCUCUGUCUGCUACUACAUGCAAGUCCCACUGGGGCUGCCUGAUCCAUCAUCUUUGUAGCACCCUAGAUGUGAUCCUGGGCUUCCAUUAAUAUAUAUUCCACGGACCACAAUCAAGCAGUGGCUGAGUGGGGCAUGUGAUAAAGACCAAUCUUCGGGUGCAUUUCUAUGUCACUUCUUGCUACAGAGCUCAAAAUCCAGCCUCAAGAUACUUCAUGGACAAGUGAGACGGAUAUAAAAAGACACACUAAAUUCGUUCUGUUUUUUGACAUGCUCCACUCCGUUGGCGUUCAGUGAGCUAUCCAAUGAACUCUGGCACCGGAAGAAAGCUCUCUUGACCAAAGUAAAGAACCCCAGAGAGACCUUUAUUGGAGAAAUUUACAGAAAAAUAAUCCCAAAAUAGAUUUCAGAUGGAAAAGCGGCUUACAAAAAAAUUUCCAGGAAAGCUAAAAGUGAAAUAAAGAAGAGCUUCAAAGUG